rnacentral:rRNA from 1 species
GUGUCAGCCGCCGCGGUAAUACGGAGGGUGCGAGCGUUAAUCGGAAUUACUGGGCGUAAAGCGCGCGUAGGCGGUUCGAUAAGUCGGGUGUGAAAGCCCUGGGCUCAACCUGGGAAUUGCAUUCGAUACUGUCGAGCUAGAGUGUGGUAGAGGGAAGUGGAAUUUCCGGUGUAGCGGUGAAAUGCGUAGAUAUCGGAAGGAACAUCAGUGGCGAAGGCGGCUUCCUGGACCAACACUGACGCUGAGGUGCGAAAGCGUGGGGAGCAAACAGGAUUAGAAACCCCCGUAGUCC